UUGGUCUGUGGGCCAAUCAGAAACAGUUUUUGUGAUCAGCUGACCUGUGAAGCUCUAGUGUGAGAUCCUGUUCUGUCCUGAGUUUGAGUUAUUAUUAUAAUACAGGGCGGCUGUGUCAUGUGACUGAACUCGAGUUCGUCUGUGAAGGUUUUUGUUUCGGAGGUGUUCCAUGUGCUGACUCAGCCUCGCUGUAUUUUACAGGUCUGUUGUGUAAAUAGUAACACCCCUGAUUGUGAGUCACUGUGCCGUCUAACCCGCUCCGUUAACUUCAGGUCCUUUUAUCUCGUUUCAGUCGGGCUCUGUGUUUCUGUCCGUCAGAUUUUCGCAGAUUUACCGAGUCGCCUGUGUCCGGUCCAUCAGUCGACUUAAAAACCAGACCUGGACCGACUUUAGUUUUGAGGCAUAAUGUCAGGUGACCAUACGUCCUCUUUUACCAGGACAUGUCCUCUUUUUUGAGGGCUUUAUAACAUCCUUCAAAUGUCUGCGGUUUUGUACGAGAUUCUGUGUUAUUCUCCACUUACUGAGUUAGAAGCGCGUAAAAGAGACUCGAUCUGACAGGAAAAACUAUCAAAAUUAACUUUGUGUGACUCCGCCCCCGCAUAGUCGUGUCAGAAUAUGGUCCCCCUGAGAUAAUGUCGAUUCAGACAUAAUUCAGACAUGGAGCGAAUCUGUGCCUUAAAUAACACAUUUUGACAUGGAAGCUGGAGCCAAUUAAAAAUGGUCGUCAGGCCCUGAUUGGUUGAUUGGUCCCCGGGUUGGACUACAGACAUGCCUGCUCUGAAUCUCCAUUAGAAAAACCACGGUCACACAGUCUACCAGAACAGCGAGAGUCCGUCAAACUCAGACCAGUGUUUGGGCCUCCAUCCUCAAAUCCUCCUCCUCCAUCCUUCCCCAAACCUCCACCGUGUUUCUGGGACGGAAGACCAAAUCCAGACAGACGCCCACGCGGCGACGUCAGGACGAACCCGUCCAAACACCCACCGACGCCGGCAUCCUCGGGCCCCUGCCGCAUCCCACGUCCGACCACAUCAUCUGGGUGGAAGCUGGGCGCUCACUUCCAUCGUCUGUUCGGGUCAGGCCUCAGACACCCACCAUGAGAGGAGGGGACGCACAAAUUAUCCCUCCAAACGCUGAGGAACAAUGAGAAUAAACGCGUCCAAGAAUGAAGAAAUCACUGGACAAAUAAAAGAGACACCUACACUCACACCAUGAUUAACAGCAUGAAAUGAUUACUGAUAAUUAAUGAUUAGAAAAUGAGAUUCAGAGGAGAAAGUUUACAGCAAACUGGAGCAGAAAACACCGAGGAUAAACUUUCGCUCCUGUUUAUUGGAUUUGACUGAAACUGACAGAAAACUGAGACAUCUCUGACGACAGCCAGCGCUCGUUCACUGACUCACUACUUCAGUCGACUUAAAAUACCCGUCAACGGUUAUUUAUGAGCCGUCCUGACUCUUCAUGCGUCUAUUUUUAGGAGCCACUUAGCAGCAGAUGAGUCUCCGCCCGUCGGCACGUCUCAGACUCCUGCAGCAGGUGGAGGGUGAAAUGUUGUUCCCUCAGAUUCGAGCUUUCUGCUGCGUCUCUCCGUGGAGAAGUGACUGGACGUUCGUCAUUGUGUUUGCAGCCGGGCCGUUGGCGAGCGGGAGCCGGUCCAGCCAUCUUGUGUGGAAAAAUUUUCGGACUGGGCACGAGCCGGCCAUCUGCAGCUCCAGGCCUUCAGCAGCCUGCAGCCAAACGCAGAAACGCUGGAGCUGACGGAGGAAUCAGCCGCAGAAACAUGUCUCUGAGAGAUUUCAGACCAAGACGGAGGUUCGACUCGUCAUGAUGGAGGAGAAAUGGAGUCUUUGAAGGGUUCGAGUAGACUUUUCCUGAACAAUCCUGAGUUUUAGAUCUUCAGGUUUUCACAGAAUGAUCUUUGUUUUUGUCAGUUUGAGUUCAGAUCAGUCAGUUACCGUCAUGUUGUUCCCGCCCACCAAACAUCCGACGUCGAAGAGACGUACAGAUCAAGUCAGUAUUAGGUUGGUCCGUCAAAGACCACAUCUAGACGUCAGUGCGACGUACAAGAUAGGUUCGAAAUUUUGACGUCGCUCUGACGUUUAGAAUUUGGAUGUCAUCUGAAGACCAAAUCU